CAAUCACUUGUCUUUUAAAUGGAGACCUGUAUGAAUGGCAUUACGAGGGCUUAACUGUCUCCUUUUUCAAGUCAGUGAAAUUGAUCUCCCCGUGCAGAAGCGGGGAUAAUUCUAUAAGACGAGAAGACCCUAUGGAGCUUUAGACGCCAAGGCAUAUCAUGUUAAACACCCCUGAACAAAGGACUAAACCAAAUGAACCAUGCCCCUAUGUCUUUGGUUGGGGCGACCACGGGGAAAUAAAAAACCCCCGAGCGGACCGGGAGUACUAUCUCCUAAAACCAAGAGCGGCAGCUCUAACGAACAGAAUUUCUGACCAAUAAGAUCCGGCAACGCCGAUCAACGGACCGAGUUACCCUAGGGAUAACAGCGCAAUCCCCUUUUAGAGCCCA
rnacentral:rRNA from 1 species